AGAAUUUGAUCUUGGUUCAGAUUGAACGCUGGCGGCGUGGAUGAGGCAUGCAAGUCGAACGGAAUAAUGGCUUCGGCUAUUAUUUAGUGGCGGAAGGGUUAGUAAUACAUAGAUAAUUUGUUCUUAACUUGGGAAUAACGGUUGGAAACGGCCGCUAAUACCGAAUGUGGUGUGUUUAGGCAUCUAAAUUACAUUAAAGAAGGGGAUCUUCGGACCUUUCGGUUAAGAGAAAGUCUGUGGGAUAUCAGCUUGUUGGUGGGGUAAUGGCCUACCAAGGCUAUGACGUCUAGGCGGAUUGAGAGAUUGACCGCCAACACUGGGACUGAGACACUGCCCAGACUCCUACGGGAGGCUGCAGUCGAGAAUCUUUCGCAAUGGACGAAAGUCUGACGAAGCGACGCCGCGUGUGUGAUGAAGGCUCUAGGGUUGUAAAGCACUUUCGCCUGGGAAUAAGAGAGAUUGGCUAAUAUCCAAUUGAUUUGAGCGUACCAGGUAAAGAAGCACCGGCUAACUCCGUGCCAGCAGCUGCGGUAAUACGGAGGGUGCUAGCGUUAAUCGGAUUUAUUGGGCGUAAAGGGCGUGUAGGCGGAAAGGAAAGUUAGAUGUCAAAUCUUGAGGCUCAACCUCAAGUCGGCAUCUAAUACUAUCUUUCUAGAGGUUGGAUGGAGAAAAGGGAAUUCCACGUGUAGCGGUGAAAUGCGUAGAUAUGUGGAAGAACACCAGUGGCGAAGGCGCUUU
rnacentral:rRNA from 1 species